AGAUGAUCACCGACUCUAUUUGGCUUUACAUGCGUAUAAUGUGACUUUCAGAUUGAAGCAGAUUUUGACGCUAUGCAUCCGCAUUGCGAACUUAAUUUGUUUAAAAAAUGGCCAUCAUUUAUGGAAAAAGCAAGACCAAUACUGAAAAAUCUUAAAUCACCGGACAUAAAUUUACUGGAUGAAAACCUUCAGGAAGAUGCCACGAACUACAUUUUCUUCAAAUUAAUGUCGUGCAAGAUGUCGCCUACCGUUAAAGUGCCAAUCAAAGAAAAUGGAAAAAAAAGAUUUUACAAACCCAGCAUUGUGGAGUCGCAGAAUUCAUUUAUUUUACACGUUACGAACCAGAGUGAAAUCAAAAAUAAACUGGAGCAAUACCAGAAAAUGCAUCUAUCCAGAGGAACCACCUUCCAACCGCUGGUGAUUGCCGUCGGACCAACGAGCAAGGACUUGAAGGAUUUUUACGUAGCGGUUGAGUCAGUUCUCUACAAGGUAGAUCAACUGCUAAAAGCUGUCGACGUGUGUUUCAAAGUAAUUCACGUAACCAACGUUCAAUACCCGCUAGAAUGUUUAAGUAUAUGGUCAUUUAUCCAAAAAUAUUUUUAUAACUUGCACAACAAAAAUGACAAGAAAAUUUCUUCCGUCUAUUGCUUUAUAUCAGAUCUGACUGACUAAUUGAGCAUCUUUCAAGGACUUAAGAAUUUUUGUGACUAUAGGGAUAAUAGUCUAGUAACAAUGUUUAUUUGCUUCAUGUGUUCGAUCGAAACAGCAAACCAUCAAGAUCUUAUUCAUCAUUACAAAACUAGUCACAAUCUCGGUCAUAACUCGAUAUAUCGAUGUGCACAAUCGAAUUGUUUCAGAGCAUUUCAAAGUUUGCGUUCCUUUCGUCGUCAUAUAGUUAGUCAUAAUGUCUCGGACCGGAAUAUAUAUUCAGAAUUAGCCCCUUCGCUUAAUUUUAACACUGAUAACAUGAUCGAAAAUUACAAUAAUUUAGACAUAACAGAUAAUACUCAGGAUACAUGUAAUGUUAAUGCAUGCUGCAGUAAUCUGCAACCCACAUCUGAAAGUUUCAGUAAGAAAAAUGAAAAUGUACGGAAGUCUACUGCAGCAUUUGCAUUAUCGUUGUAUAGCAAUCCUUAUUUAAAUCGUAAAUGCGCUAUGAAAAUAAUUGACGAUGUUUCAGAACUAGUAACUGGUGUUAUUGGAACUAUGUUGUCUGAACUCUCACCUAAUGACGAUACACCGAAUAAAAACAUAGUUGAAGCAAUUUCCAAUUCUUUCGACGGUUUGGAUACUGAAAGUAAAGUAAUUAAAUAUUUUUCUGACCGUAAUAUUUACACACCCCCAAAAAAAUUUACAAUUAAUGAAAAUGUGACUGUAAAUACAGGAAAUUCUACGGUAAUGCUAACACCUAUGUUGGAAACUGGAGCGAUAGUACCUUUGAGAGCAGUUUUAAAACAAAUAUUUGAACUACCCAACUUUUUAAAAUGUAGCACUAGUAUUCCUGAUGUUCAAUCUAUAUCAAAUUUUACCCAAGGUAAUAUCUGGAAGCAAAAAUUGGUCGGAAAAAUGGAUGAAAAUAGCUUAUACAUUCCAUAUUUUCUGUAUUUUGAUGAUUUCGAAUGCAAUAACCCCCUGGGUAGUCAUGCUGGAAUCCAUUCUAUCGCUGCUACCUAUUACACAUUUCCAACGUUGUCAGCGGAUCAUGCUUCACUAUUAGAAAAUAUAUUUGUUGCAAUGUUGCAUAAAUCAUCUAGCAAAAGUCAUGGCAAUGCUUCAAUUUAUUACGAACUCAUAAAGGAGUUGAAGAGUUUAGAACAAAAUGGCAUAGAUUUAGAAAUUAGUGAAGGUGUUUCUAAAGUAUAUUUUAUACUAGGGAUGA